UUAUUUGAUUUCUUCGGAAUGAAGAUUUUGUGACUGAGUGGCGGACGGGUGAGUAACGCGUGGGUAACCUGCCUCAUACAGGGGGAUAACAGUUGGAAACGACUGCUAAUACCGCAUAAGCGCACAGGGUCGCAUGACCUGGUGUGAAAAACUCCGGUGGUAUGAGAUGGACCCGCGUCUGAUUAGCCAGUUGGUGGGGUAACGGCCUACCAAAGCGACGAUCAGUAGCCGACCUGAGAGGGUGACCGGCCACAUUGGGACUGAGACACGGCCCAAACUCCUACGGGAGGCAGCAGUGGGGAAUAUUGCACAAUGGGGGAAACCCUGAUGCAGCGACGCCGCGUGAGCGAAGAAGUAUUUCGGUAUGUAAAGCUCUAUCAGCAGGGAAGAAGAAAUGACGGUACCUGACUAAGAAGCACCGGCUAAAUACGUGCCAGCAGCCGCGGUAAUACGUAUGGUGCAAGCGUUAUCCGGAUUUACUGGGUGUAAAGGGAGCGCAGGCGGUACGGCAAGUCUGAUGUGAAAGCCCGGGGCUCAACCCCGGUACUGCAUUGGAAACUGUCGGACUAGAGUGUCGGAGGGGUAAGUGGAAUUCCUAGUGUAGCGGUGAAAUGCGUAGAUAUUAGGAGGAACACCAGUGGCGAAGGCGGCUUACUGGACGGUAACUGACGCUGAGGCUCGA
rnacentral:rRNA from 1 species